rnacentral:rRNA from 1 species
ACUCCUACGGGAGGCAGCAGUAGGGAAUCUUCGGCAAUGGACGGAAGUCUGACCGAGCAACGCCGCGUGAGUGAAGAAGGUUUUCGGAUCGUAAAGCUCUGUUGUAAGAGAAGAACGAGUGUGAGAGUGGAAAGUUCACACUGUGACGGUAUCUUACCAGAAAGGGACGGCUAACUACGUGCCAGCAGCCGCGGUAAUACGUAGGUCCCGAGCGUUGUCCGGAUUUAUUGGGCGUAAAGCGAGCGCAGGCGGUUAGAUAAGUCUGAAGUUAAAGGCUGUGGCUUAACCAUAGUACGCUUUGGAAACUGUUUAACUUGAGUGCAAGAGGGGAGAGUGGAAUUCCAUGUGUAGCGGUGAAAUGCGUAGAUAUAUGGAGGAACACCGGUGGCGAAAGCGGCUCUCUGGCUUGUAACUGACGCUGAGGCUCGAAAGCGUGGGGAGCAAACAGGAUUAGAUACCCUGGUAGCUCGAUGU